rfam:Erinaceus europaeus unplaced genomic scaffold scaffold00116, whole genome shotgun sequence
GGAUGUGAGGGCAAUCUGGAUGUGACAUUUGUCACCUUACUGAUCGCCAGGGUUGAUUUGGCUGAUCUGGCUGGCUAGCUAGGUGGGUGUCCCCUUCCUCUCCCGAAGCUGCAUGCUAGGUUAAAGAGGGCAUCCUUCCCCAAAUAAAGACAAACUUGUCUUUGGUUGAGGGUUUAGGAGUAGCUGCACUCCCCUGCAAGAACCUCCAAACAAGAGUAGGAAAGCUUCCAGUGGAGAGGAUGGGAUAUGGAAUUCUGGUAGUGGGAAACAUGUGGAAUUGUAUCCCUUUUA